rnacentral:rRNA from 1 species
UAGCCGUAAACGAUACUCGCUAGGUGUCGGCCACGGUGCGACCGUUGUCGGUGCCGUAGGGAAGCCGUGAAGCGAGCCACCUGGGAAGUACGGCCGCAAGGCUGAAACUUAAAGGAAUUGGCGGGGGAGCACUACAACGGGUGGAGCCUGCGGUUUAAUUGGAUUCAACGCCGGAAAUCUUACCGGGACCGACAGCAACAUGAAGGCCAGGCUGAAGACUUUGCCGGAUUAGCUGAGAGGUGGUGCAUGGCGUAGUCGUGU